rnacentral:misc_RNA from 1 species
GAUGAAGAACGCAGUGAAAUGCGAUAAGUAAUGUGAAUUGCAGAAUUCAGUGAAUCAUCGAAUCUUUGAACGCACAUUGCGCCCGCCAGCACUCUGGCGGGCAUGCCUGUUCGAGCGUCAUUUCAACCAUCAAGCCCCCAGGGGCUUGUGCUGGGGCCCUGCGGCUGCCCGCAGGCCCUGAAAACCAGUGGCGGGCUCGCUAGUCACACCGAGCGCAGUAGCACAUCUCGCUCAGGGCGUGCGGCGGGCUCCUGCCGUGAAACCCCCCACUGUAACCCCAAAGGUUGACCUCGUAUCAGGUAGGAAUACCCGCUGAACUUAAGCAUAUCAAUAAGCGGAGGA